rnacentral:rRNA from 1 species
UACGUAGGGGGCUAGCGUUGUCCGGAAUCAUUGGGCGUAAAGCGCGUGUAGGCGGCCCGGUAAGUCCGCCGUGAAAGUCCAGGGCUCAACCCUGGAAUGCCGGUGGAAACUGUCGGGCUGGAGUCCGGAAGAGGCGAGUGGAAUUCCUGGUGUAGCGGUGAAAUGCGCAGAUAUCAGGAGGAACACCAAUGGCGAAGGCAGCUCGCUGGGACGGUAACUGACGCUGGAG